UGGAAACAUUCAGUUUCCAGGUGAACUUUAGAUUUGAAAAAAAUUAUCCAUAUGAACAGGCCUCCGUAACUGAACAGAAGAUAAAUAUCAAUCAAUUCAAGGUUAAUCUAAUUUGAAGUGGCAAACGUUAAGGAAAUUGAGUCUUCUCAUAUUCCUACUCUGUACUUUGAUUUCCAUCGAGAACCAAAUGCAGAAACCAUGCAAGGCUUAUCAUCGUCACGAUCAUCAUUUAUAACUCAUAUUGGUCCUCUUCCUCGUGGGGUUUGUAUCCUUCGAUAUCCUUGUCUAUGGAGGACGAAGAAGAAGGCCACCCUCAACGAUCACUGGAGUAUUUAUCGUGAUUCUUGUCCACAAGAUGAGGAAACCAAGCCAGAGGUGAUUCUGGAAAUUUACAAAGUCCAUUCCAGUGUGGCUUCAGCUCUCUUGAGGCUUGCUUUGAUUGUUCCAUUGAGGUUGAGUUAAUAAUGAAACUUGAGCAGAGCUGUGAUGCUUCUGUUUCAUUGGAUGCUGCUGAAUUGUUGAAAUAUGAGAAAGAUUCUACCCCAACGAAAGGCUGAAGGGGUUUGAUAUAAUAGACAGAAUCAAGUCACAACUUGAGAAGUGUGUCCUGAAGUUGUUCCUUGCGCUGAUAUAGUUGUUUUAGCAGCCAGAGGUGUUGUUCAAGUAUAUAUCCCAGUGCCUCCCACCUUCUACCUCAAAUCUCUCUCUCAGCUUCUCAUCGGACAUGUGAAUUUCAGGCCAUUGGUCCAUUCUAUCCAUUAUUAACGGGCAGAACAGAUGAUUUGGUCUCUUUCGCAGACAGCAACAUACGAGCUUCCUUCACCUCUAGCUGAUUUAUAUGAAGCCGUUGCAUGUUUUGCACCUAAGUGUCUUGAUGAAAGAGAAGCUGUAGUCUAUUGAGUAUAAUGCUUCCUUCUCUCCGAGUUCCUUGUGGUGGCAUGCAAGCUUUUGUUUUACUCUGUAGAAUGGCUAUCAGACACUUUCCCCAGUACUUUAUGUUUAUCUGUAUGAAUCCACAGAGGUGUAUUUGAUUAGCCUCAGUUUUGUUCAGAUGUGCAUUCUGUAGUGACCUAGAAUCUUAACGUUUCUAAUUGUUCCCUUGCAUUUACUUCUAAGUGUUCACAGCGUUGGAAUGAUCCACUGCAAAUUCUUCACAAACAGCAUCCACAACUUUGGUGGGACUAAUAAGCCUGAUCCCUUUCUUGAUCUUCAAUUGAUGCAAUAACGUUGAUGAAUCGGUUACUUCAGCAGCAGCACCUUCCUUUGAUGUGUUGGUGCCCUUAUCAUCAGCAUCCUAAGCUUCUAAAGACUGCUUGGGAUCAUCAUCAGCAAUAUCAUCAACUUCACGUAGCGGAUUACGCUCUCCAUCUUCUGGAGACCGGGGAAGGAAGGAUGCAACUCGUCAGCACCACCACUAUCACUUUCCUUCUAAGGCUCAUUGUCUUUCUCACUAUUGUCUUCAACGACACCAUAAGUUUCAUAUGAAGGUUCACUAUAGUCCUCACUAGAGGAUCCAGGAAUCAAUUUGGCCUACGAGGGACCUGGAAACAUGUUGGUUCAGUAGACCACCAGUCUUCUCCAAGGUAGAGGAAUCCUCUAUACCGAUCAAUAACUAAUGUCUGGGGAAGAAACUGGGAUUAAGGUUAGAGCAUAUGCUUCAGAUGCAUACUUGUUCCAACGAGACUUUCCCCGAACAAUGAUGACGUCUUCACAGGUUCAGUGGGUCAGUUCCGGAACAAUUGUUCGAAGGGGGCAUAGAGGAGAUUAGGAAGAAGGACUUUUGUUCAGUUUUCCCUACGCUAACUUUCUGGCUUUUGUUGUCACGAAUUUGAACACUGAGGAAUUUAGAUAAAUUUCUGUUGUUUACUUUAAUAUUUAGUAUCCAGAUUAAAACCAAACUGUCCAAUGCUUGUUCAACAAAAUCUAUGAAAUUUAAGUUCUUCUCUAUCUCUCUCUUUUUCCCUUUCAAAUUGGUUGAUGGUCUAAUAUAUUAGCACAUUCUUAUAAAUCUUAAAUUUGGACCAUAUGCAGCACUCCUCUACCCUUAGGGCAUGCUGAAUUGUUUCAUCACUGACAUUAUGCUUAUUUGCAGAGGAGACAUUCAAUGACUUGUUGCACCUUUCUGUCGUAUGAAAAAUGAAUUAUAAAUCUUAUAAAUCUUGUGACUGCAUUUAUUGCAUCUAUUUAUGAAGAUAUUCUAUUUAAAACAAUUCUUAAAUGCACAGCCCCUAAGGCAAGGGAAAUUUUCAAUUCCUGCUUUCCAAAACUUUCA